GGUUGCGAUCAUACCAGCACUAAUGCAACGGAUCCCAUUAGAACUACGCAGUUAAGCGUGCUUGGGCGAGAGUAGUACUAGGAUGGGUGACCCCCUGGGAAGUCCUCAUGUUGCAACCC
rnacentral:rRNA from 1 species